rnacentral:misc_RNA from 1 species
AAAAAUACGUGGGCAAGUGAAAAACGGCAUCUAAUCCCUUCCGCGUUUUUUCGGAUGCAGGCAGGACUCAACCAGAGCUGCAAUUCCAUGGUCGCAGCCUCUCGUCUCCACCAGAAUUCGACGGAUCGCUUCACUGCCCUUCAAAAACAAUCGUACGCUAUCUAUACCUUCUUCGCUCUCUUAUUCUUCUUUCACUUUAAUAAAGAACUAUGCUUUCCUCUGGCUUCAUUCUUGCCCUCUUUUGGUCGUUUUGGAACUUUCCUCUCUAACAUGGAAUGUGGGUUUUAAGUAAAUUUAUCGUUCGCUCAUGCUCUUAUCUAAAUAGCUGCGUAUUGCAAUCCCAAAUCUGCAUCCAUUCACAUUCGUGAGUUUAUUGGUAUCUAAUGAAAUUUCCUAGCAUUUUUUGUCAAAAUAUUCUAGAUUUAGCUUAUAGUAUGUUGCCUGUGAAAAUCAAAGCGAUUGAGGACUAUGAAAAAAAAAAUUUAGUAAAGUAUUUUUGUAAAGCAUAGUCGAAGGCCUUAUUUGCAAAGCAUUCUAAUUUCUGAACAUAAUGUCAAAAGUGUUUCUCAAAAAAAUUUCAAAUUUUUGUUUAAGUAUUUUUGUUUAGAUGUGGCCCAAAAGCUUUGGAGCUCAAAUUGUUCACCAUUCUUUCAUGUAUCCCUUUCAAUUUGAAACUCCACUUCUGUCAAAUAAUCAUCUUUUAUCAAUCAGUUUGGAAUCCUAUAUCCUGCAAGCAGAUGGCACCUCCUGUGAUAGAGUCGACUUCAAUUUAUGGGAUGGCUGUUGUACUUCUCUAAGGAAAUUUGGUUGUUGUGUUUGUUUUGUUGUAUGCAUAUGAUUUUUCAGCAUUAUUAAUUGUCACAUAGGUGCUUAUAACUUUUUUUUGCAAGAUUGUAAUGAGUAUGACUAUGACUUAGCUUUGAUGAGUUUUAUGGUUAAUUUGUAGGCUAGCUUUCUAUUCAAAAGCUAGCGUAGAAAAGGUUACACAUGAUGCAAUUUGUAUGGUUAAUAUGGAGUGGGCUUUGGGUAUAUUAUACAUGGACAGUAAAAUAUUUGGUUAGGGGUUUAUUUUCUGAAGACUGCAAAAUUUGUUCUUAUGCGUGUUUUGCAUUUUGACAUAUUUAGUGUAGUGUUAUGAUAUAAUGUUUUUGUAUUUCUGUUUGUAAUCAUUUAAAUACUUUAGAAAAGAAAUGCUGCAAACUCCAACAUCUGCGUUUUUUUUUUCUCCCUCAAAG